rnacentral:rRNA from 2 species
GGAUGCGAUCAUACCAGCACUAAAGCACCGGAUCCCAUUAGAACUCCGAAGUUAAGCGUGCUUGGGCGAGAGUAGUACUAGGAUGGGCGACCUCCUGGGAAGUCCUCGUGUUGCAUUCC